rnacentral:lncRNA from 1 species
UAACCCGUAUUCAUUGGGCAAUGUGACCGAAUGAUGACUCCGAUAUCAUGAACCAACAAACUAUGUACUUCAGAACUUGUUGCUCGUCUACUUACUGAAUUGUAUAAAAAUCGAAUUUUCUCUCGAGUUGUACGAACAAUACGAGAUGUCUUAAUUUGUUUACAUGCUCCUUGAGUAGGAUGAUCAUCAAGAGUCCUUAGCAAGUGUCCUACAUCUAUACCUACAAAACCAAUAAUAAAAGUCGAACAUGUAAAUGAACUUCAUAAAGUAAGAAAAUUAACUAUUAAUAAAGUAAACACACUACCUUCAGAAUCAUCUAUUUCAUCGU